rnacentral:rRNA from 1 species
UGAGGAAUAUUGGUUAAUCUGCGAAAGCGGGAACCAGCAACGCCGCGUGCACGAUGAAGGCCUUCGGGUUGUAAAGUGCUUUUUGAGAGGAUGAGGAAGGACAGUACUCUUAGAAUAAGCUUCGGCUAACUACGUGCCAGCAGCCGCGGUAAAACGUAGGAAGCGAGCGUUAUCCGGAUUUACUGGGCGUAAAGCGUGUGUAGGCGGUUUGAUAAGUUGGAUGUGAAAGCUCCUGGCUUAACUGGGAGAGGUCGUUCAAAACUAUCAGACUUGAGAGUGGUAGAGGGAGGUGGAAUUCCGCAUGUAGUGGUGAAAUGCGUAGAUAUGCGGAGGAACACCAGUGGCGAAAGCGGCCUCCUGGCCCAUUUCUGACGCUCAGACACGAAAGCUAAGGUAGCAAACG